rnacentral:rRNA from 1 species
AGCGGCGCACGGGUGAGUAACACGUAGGUAACCUGCCUGCGGGACCGGGAUAACCUGUCGAAAGAUGGGCUAAUACCGGAUAAGACCACCCUCGGAAAAGAUGCACCUGUGGAUGGGCCUGCGCGCCAUUAGCUAGUUGGUGAGGUAACGGCUCACCAAGGCGAAGAUGGCUAGCUGGUCUGAGAGGAUGGCCAGCCACACUGGGACUGAGACACGGCCCAGACUCCUACGGGAGGCAGCAGUGGGGAAUCUUGCGCAAUGGGCGAAAGCCUGACGCAGCGACGCCGCGUGGGUGAUGAAGGCCUUCGGGUCGUAAAGCCCUGUCGGGGGGGACGAAUGACGGUACCCCCUAAGGAAGCACCGGCUAACUCCGUGCCAGCAGACGCGGUAAUACGGAGGGUGCAAGCGUUGUUCGGAAUUACUGGGCGUAAAGCGCGUGUAGGCGGUUUCUUUAGUCCGAUGUGAAA